rnacentral:lncRNA from 1 species
GAUUGGCAAGUUUCUGAAUUCUGUCUUUCUGCCUUUCUCUGCUUGAUUGCUUUCUAAAUCUUUCUUUUCUGGGCAGUUACUUCUGUCAUAGCUGCUAGAGACCUAGAGCUCCCUUUUGGUGAUGUGGAGGAUAAUUAUGAGACCCUGGCAGAACCAAGUGCUGAGGCAACUCCUUCUGCCAGAAAAAUAACAAAAGAAAGGAAACUGCUCAAGCUCAGGACAGUGCUG